GCCCCGGUCGCCUAGCGUGGUUAGGGCGCCGCCUUGGUAAGGCGGUCUACCGCGGGUUCAAGUCCCGCCCGGGGCU
rnacentral:tRNA from 1 species